rnacentral:rRNA from 1 species
UACAGAGGUCUCAAGCGUUGUUCGGAUUCAUUGGGCGUAAAGGGUGCGUAGGUGGCGCUGUAAGUCGGGUGUGAAAUUUCGGAGCUUAACUCCGAAACUGCAUUCGAUAUGCGGUGCUUGAGGACUUGGAGAGGAGACUGGAAUUCAUGGUGUAGCAGUGAAAUGCGUAGAGAUCAUGAGGAAGACCAGUGGCGAAAGGCGGGUCUCUGGACAGUUCCUGACACUGAGGCACGAAGCCAGGGGAGCAAACGG